GAUGAACGCUGGCGGCGUGCCUAAUACAUGCAAGUCGAGCGAACAGACGAGGAGCUUGCUCCUCUGACGUUAGCGGCGGACGGGUGAGUAACACGUGGAUAACCUACCUAUAAGACUGGGAUAACUUAGGGAAACCGGAGCUAAUACCGGAUAAUAUAUUGAACCGCAGGGUUCAAUAGUGAAAGACGGUUUUGCUGUCACUUAUAGGUGGAUCCGCGCCGCAUUAGCUAGUUGGUAAGGUAACGGCUUACCAAGGCAACGAUGCGUAGCCGACCUGAGAGGAUGAUCAGCCACACUGGAACUGAGACACGGUCCAGACUCCUACGGGAGGCAGCAGUAGGGAAUCUUCCGCAAUGGGCGAAAGCCUGACGGAGCCACGCCGCGUGAGUGAUGAAGGUCUUCGGAUCGUAAAGCUCUGUUAUUUGGGAAGAACAAAUGUGUAAGUAACUAUUCACGUCUUGACGUUACCUAAUCAGAAAGCCACGGCUAACUACGUG
rnacentral:rRNA from 1 species